UGCAGUUUUAGGUGAUUCAUAAUAACCGACGAAUCGUAUGUCCUUGUGACGACGAUGAUUCAUUCAAAUUUCUGACCUAUCAACUUGAUGGUAGUGUAGUGGACUACCAUGGUUGUAACGGGUAACGGGGAAUUAGGGUUCUAUUCCGGAGAGGGGGCCUGAGAGAUGGCCACCACAUCCAAGGAAGGCAGCAGGCGCGCAAAUUACCCAAUUGGAAUUUCCAGAGGUAGUGACAAGAAAUAACGACAUUGGGCUAAUUGUCUAAUGAUCGGAAUGAGAACAAUUUAAACCCCUUAUCGAGUAACUAUUGGAGGGCAAGCUGGGUGCCAGCAGCCGCGGUAAUUCCCACUCCAAUAGCGUAUAUUAAAGUUGUUGCAGUUAAAAAGCUCGUUGUUGGAUUUCGGAAUGUGCAUUUUGAUUCCUCGUAAGAGUUGAUAUCAAUAUAUGUUUAACUUCCUUUCUUUUUAUGAUUUUGAUUUUUUUUCAUAAUCAUAUCUUUUACUUUGAGUAAAUUAGAGUGUUUAAAGCAAGCUUAAUGCUUGAAUAUUAAAGCAUGGAAUAAUAAAAUAAGACUUUGAUUUUAUUUUGUUGGUUUAUAAAAUCAAGGAAAUUAUUAAAAGGGAUAGUUGGGGGCAUUAGUACUCCGUAGUCAGAGGUGAAAUUCAUAGAUUUACGGAAGACUAACUACUGCGAAAGCAUUUGCCAAGGAUGUUUUCAUUAAUCAAGAACGAAAGUUAUGGGAUCGAAGACGAUUAGACACCGUCGUAGUCAUAACCAUAAACUAUGCCACCUAGGGAUUGGAUGUUAGUUGUUUUUACCGACUCUUUCAGCACCUUAGCGAAAGUAAAGGCUUUGGGUUCUGGGGGGAGUAUGGUCGCAAGGCUGAAACUUAAAGGAAUUGACGGAAAGGCACCACCAGGUGUGGAACUUGCGGCUCAAUUUGACCCAACACGGGGCAACUUACCAGGUCAGGACAAAGUGAGGAUUGACAGAUUGGAAGCUCUUUCUUGAUUUUUUGGAUGGUGGUGCAUGGCCGUUCUUAGUUGGUGGAGUGAUUUGUCUGGUUAAUUCCGAUAACGAACGAGACCUUAACCUUUAAAUAGAUUAUGUAUUUUCGAAUAUUUGAUAAUCUUCUUAAAGGGACUAUGUGUGUUUAACGCAUGGAAGUUUGAGGCAAUAACAGGUCCGUGAUGCCCUUAUAUGUCCUGGGCCGCACGCGUGUUACAAUGAUGAAUUCAACGAGUUGUAUCCUUGAUCGAUAGAUCUGGGUAAUCUUAUAAAUAUUCAUCGUGCUGGGGAUAAAUUAUUGCAAUUUUUAAUCUUAAACGAGGAAUACCUAGUAAGUGUGAGUCAUCAACUCACGCUGAUUACGUCCCUGCCUUUUGUACACACCGCCCGUCGCUCCUACCGAUUGAAUGAUCAGGUGAAAUUUUC
rnacentral:rRNA from 1 species